UCUGCGGCUGGGCGGGUUGCGGCUGGGCGGGCUGUUGCUGCGCCUGCUGCGCCUGCUGCGCCUGGUGCGGGUGCGGGGCGGCGGGU
rnacentral:tRNA from 1 species